rnacentral:rRNA from 1 species
CAAAAGUUUUAUCGUUAGGCCGAACCGGCGUCGAGGAAACACGUGAGUAACCUACCCUUGACUCUGGGAUAAGCCCGGGAAACUGGGUCUAAUACCGGAUAUGAGUCAUCACCGCAUGGUGGUGGUUUGAAAGAUUUAUCGGUCUUGGAUGGACUCGCGGCCUAUCAGCUUGUUGGUGAGGUAAUGGCUCACCAAGGCGACGACGGGUAGCCGGCCUGAGAGGGUGACCGGCCACACUGGGACUGAGACACGGCCCAGACUCCUACGGGAGGCAGCAGUGGGGAAUAUUGCACAAUGGGCGGAAGCCUGAUGCAGCGACGCCGCGUGAGGGAUGACGGCCUUCGGGUUGUAAACCUCUUUCAGUAGGGAAGAAGCGAAAGUGACGGUACCUGCAGAAGAAGCACCGGCUAACUACGUGCCAGCAGCCGCGGUAAUACGUAGGGUGCGAGCGUUAUCCGGAAUUAUUGGGCGUAAAGAGCUCGUAGGCGGUUUGUCGCGUCUGUCGUGAAAGUCCGGGGCUUAACCCCGGAUCUGCGGUGGGUACGGGCAGACUAGAGUGCAGUAGGGGAGACUGGAAUUCCUGGUGUAGCGGUGGAAUGCGCAGAUAUCAGGAGGAACACCGAUGGCGAAGGCAGGUCUCUGGGCUGUAACUGACGCUGAGGAGCGAAAGCAUGGGGAGCGAACAGGAUUAGAUACCCUGGUAGUCCAUGCCGUAAACGUUGGGCACUAGGUGUGGGGAACAUUCCACGUUUUCCGCGCCGUAGCUAACGCAUUAAGUGCCCCGCCUGGGGAGUACGGCCGCAAGGCUAAACUCAAAGGAAUUGACGGGGGCCCGCACAAGCGGCGGAGCAUGCGGAUUAAUUCGAUGCAACGCGAAGAACCUUACCAAGGCUUGACAUGUUCUCGUUCGCCGUAGAGAUACGGUUUCCCCUUUGGGGCGGGUUCACAGGUGGUGCAUGGGUUGUCGUCAGCUCGUGUCGUGAGAUGUUGGGUUAAGUCCCGCAACGAGCGCAACCCUCGUUCCAUGUUGCCAGCACUUCGGGUGGGACUCAUGGGAACUGCCGGGGUCACUCGAGAGUGGGACGACUCAAUCAUCAUGCCCCUAUGUCCUG